rnacentral:lncRNA from 1 species
CAGCGGCAGAGCCCACACUGGAUCCCCAGGCUCCCACCUCCCAGUCCAGUGCUCUUGCUGCAUUUCCAUCCUACAUCUCAGGUAGUGUCUGGGGCACAUGGAACCUCCAAGUGGAGGAGACUCCGGCAUCCGGAACAGCCACCCUCCCUGUAAUAUGAUCCCUGAUGCCUUUGCUUUGGGCCAGACUCUUGGGGAACUAAGAUAAAUAAGGCCUGCUUGAUAAUUGGUCCCUGUUAUUACUGUACAUUGUAUCCGGUCUUCUCAAGAGUCCUGCAAGUUAGUGGAAGUGAGGAUAAGAGAGAUGAAGUAACUUAUUCUUUUUUUUUAUUUUUAUUUUUUUAUUUUUAAAGAUUUUAUUUUUUUCCUUUUUCUCCCCAAAGCCCCCUGGUACAUAGUUGUAUAUUCUUAGUUGUGGGUCCUACUAGUUGUGGCAUGUGGGAUGCCGCCUUAGCGUGGCUUGAUGAGCAGUGCCAUGUCUGCGCCCAGGAUUCGAACCAACGAAGCACUGGGUCGCCGCAGCGGAGCACGAGAACUUAACCACUCCGCCAUGGGGCCAGCCCAAAGUAACUUAUUCUAUGUCAUACAGCUAGGACCUGGUACAUAGUUGCAUAUUCUAGUUGUGGCUCCCUCUAGUUGUGGCACGUGGGACACCGCCUCAACAUGGCCUGACGAGUGGUACCAUGUCCACGCCCACCAUCCGAACCGGCAAAAACCUUGGCUGCCAAAGCAGAGCGUGCGAACUUAAUCACUCAGCCACGGAGCCAGCCCCACGACAGACCUUUUAAAAAAUAAUUUGAUACAAUUAUUACAGUAAUAAUACUGUACAGUAAUAAUACUGAGUGUUACAAGUAGAUACAGAGGUGGGUUUGUUUUGCAUUUGGGGACUGGUAAGACUUCCGUCCAUCUGCUGGGUUUCAGCAUGAAUAGUUCACCAGAAAAAAGGGACAAGAUCACACUGGUAACAAGUCAAGAGAGAGAACAGGAGUGCUUGGAGCUCAGGACAGAGUGAGCAGGCAGGAAAUGACCAAACAGAGGUAGGGUGGAGUUCACACUGAAAGGUCUCCUGGGUCAAGCCUGAGUCAACCUUGACUUCCCUUUGCCUCACAUCAUAUAUCCACACCGUCAUCAUGGCUCAAAUACAUAACCAGAAUCUGCCCAUUUCUCACCACCUCCAUUGCUACCACUCCAGCACCUGGUCUGAGUCAUCCUCAUAUCUCACCAGGCUUUUUGCAAGAACUUCCUUCUGCCCUUGCCUACCUACAGCCUGCUCUGGACAGAGCAGCCUGAGAGAGAGAGAGAGAGGGAGGGAGCGAGCGAGCCUUCUAACACAGUAGUCCUCAGCCUUGGUUGCAUUUUAAAAUCUGCUGGGGAAUUUUCAAAAAGUUCUUAGGUCUGCACCUCACCCCACAUAUUCUAGUUAAAUUGCUAUGAAGUGGGGCCCAGGCAGAGGGAUUUUUAAGGCACCCCAGAUAAUUCUAACUUGUGGCCACAGUUGCAGACCACAAUUUCAGUAUGUAAGUGUCAUGUCUCUUCUCUGUCCAAACCCUCCAGCACUGCCCAUUUCACUCAGAGUAUAAUCCAAUGGUUUAAAAGGCCGUAUGUGAUCUGGCCUCCUGUGACCUCUCUUACCUCCCCCUGGUUCAUUCCAUUCCAUUCUAGCCACUCCAGUCUCCUUUUUCUUGAUUGAACAAGUAAGGCAGGCUUCUGCCUUGAGGCCUUUGCCCUUGUUCCCUCCGCCUGAAACACUCUUCACCUAGAGGUCUGCAGGGCGCCAUCCUUGACCUUCCCUUAGGUCUUUGCUCAACUAUCACCUUACUGAUGAUGCCUUCCUAGUCCACCCUCUUCAAAAUUGCACCUCCUGCCCACCCCUCUCUGUCCUCUUUAUCCUGCUCUAUUUUUCUUCAUAGCGUUUAUCAUCAUCUGACUUAAUGUAUUUUAUUUACAUUAUCUGUCUCUUUUCCACUAGAAUGUAAACCCCAGGAGAUCAGGAAUUUUUGUAAACUUUUUUUGACCGCUGUAUAUUCUUAUCACUUUAAAUGCUGUCUGACAUAUAGUAAGUGCUCACUAAAUCUUUGUUGCAUAACUGAAUUUCUGUAUGUUUACGUGUUGUGGUGGAGGCUGGUCCAUGGUUUGGGCCAUGUAGAAUCUGUGGCACUAAGGGGUACCAGGCACUUGGGUCUGAAGCAGAUGAUGACUGAAGCUGUGGGAGCACCUGACCAGCCCAGAGGAACAUGGACAUAGAGGCAAAGGAACUCCCCAAACUUGCAUCUCCCUGUAUUCAUCUUGAUGAGUGACACCUCCACCUGCCUGGUG